rnacentral:rRNA from 1 species
AUGCUUAACACAUGCAAGUCGAACGGUAACAGAUAAGAUGAUCUCUUCGGAGUGAAUCUUUGCUGACGAGUGGCGGACGGGUGAGUAAUGCUUGGGAAUCUGCCCAAUAGUGGGGGAAAACUCGGGGAAACCCGGGCUAAUACCGCAUAAUCUCUACGGAGGAAAGAGGGCCUCUACAUGUAAGCUCUCGCUAAUGGAUGAGCCCAAGUCAGAUUAGCUUGUUGGUAAGGUAAUGGCUUACCAAGGCUACGAUCUGUAGCUGGUCUGAGAGGAUGAUCAGCCACACUGGGACUGAGACACGGCCCAGACUCCUACGGGAGGCAGCAGUGGGGAAUAUUGCACAAUGGGCACAAGCCUGAUGCAGCAAUGCCGCGUGUGUGAAGAAGGCUCUAGGGUUGUAAAGCACUUUCAAUAGAGAAGAAAAGCUUGAGGUUAAUACCUCCAAGCCUUGACGUAACCUAUACAAGAAGCACCGGCUAAUUCCGUGCCAGCAGCCGCGGUAAUACGGGAGGUGCGAGCGUUAAUCGGAAUUACUGGGCGUAAAGCGAGCGUAGGCUGUUAAUUAAGUCGAAUGUGAAAUCCCCGGGCUCAACCUGGGAACUGCAUUCGAAACUAUUUGACUAGAGUAUGGGAGAGGAAAGUAGAAUUUCCGGUGUAGCGGUGAAAUGCGUAGAUAUCUGAAGGAACACCAGUGG